rnacentral:rRNA from 1 species
CCCUUAGAUGUUCUGGGCCGCACGCGUGCUACACUGAGUGGAUCAGCGGGUCAGGUUGCGCGAAAGUGUUUCCUAAUCUUGAAAUCCGCUCGUGAUGGGGAUUGACGGUUGCAAUUUUCCGUCAUGAACGAGGAAUACCUUGUAAGCGCGGGUCAUCAUCCCGCGCUGAAUACGUCCCUGCCCUUUGUACACACCGCCCGUCGCUCCUACCGAUUGAGUGGUCCGGUGAGGCUUUGGGAUCUGGGCGGAAAGAGCGUUUCGCUGUUUCUGCCCGGAAAACUCAGUCGAACCUUAUCAUUUAGAGGAAGGAGAAGUCGUAACA